CAGACGCUGUAUGCAGGAAGAACUGAAUUUCAGAGGACACCGUUUGAUCUUCAACAUCUGAUAGUUUACAAAACAGAGACGGGGUGUCGCCACGUUGCCCAGGCUGGUCUCGAACUCUGGAGCUCAAGCGAUCCGCCUGCCUCGGCCUUUCAAAGUGCUGAGACUACAGCCUGAAGAGGAGAGGGGGAAUCCUGGUGAGAAGCAUUUGGAAUUCAAGCUCAGAGAAGAAGACACGGUAUUUCUGGCUGAAUCACAUUUCCUGCAUGCCUGCACACUCCUACUCACCUUUCAAGGCACAGUUCUAAUGCCUUUCCCCCCCUGCCAGGUGCUACUCUGCCUU